GUCCUCAUGGAGCAGCCCGGAGUGCUCGCCACCCUGUCACGGUGGAGGCCGUGGGUUCAAAUCCCACUGGGGACGC
rnacentral:tRNA from 1 species